GGGUGAGUAACGCGUAAGGAACUUGCCUCUUGGACUGGGACAACUGUUGGAAACGACAGCUAAUACCGGAUAUUAUGAGAUUCUCGCAUGAGAAACUUAUGAAAGCUAUAUGCGCCAAGAGAGAGCCUUGCGUUCCAUUAGCUAGUUGGUGGGGUAACGGCCCACCAAGGCGACGAUGGAUAGCCGGCCUGAGAGGGUGAACGGCCACAAGGGGACUGAGACACGGCCCUUACUCCUACGGGAGGCAGCAGUGGGGAAUAUUGGACAAUGGGCCACAAGCCUGAUCCAGCAAUUCUGUGUGCACGAUGAAGGUCUUCGGAUUGUAAAGUGCUUUCAGUUGGGAAGAAGAAAGUGACGGUACCAACAGAAGAAGCGACGGCUAAAUACGUGCCAGCAGCCGCGGUAAUACGUAUGUCGCAAGCGUUAUCCGGAUUUAUUGGGCGUAAAGCGCGUCUAGGCGGAAAAAUAAGUCUGAUGUUAAAAUGCGGGGCUCAACUCCGUAUUGCGUUGGAAACUGUUUUUCUAGAGUACUGGAGAGGUGGGCGGAACUACAAGUGUAGAGGUGAAAUUCGUAGAUAUUUGUAGGAAUGCCGAUGGAGAAGUCAGCUCACUGGACAGAUACUGACGCUGAAGCGCGAAAGCGUGGGGAGCAAAC
rnacentral:rRNA from 1 species